ACAAUACUCCCUCGUCCCGAAUUAGUUGACUCAGAUGUGUCUACAUACGGACAUGACUAACCACGUUUUAGUGUUAGAUACAUCCGUAUCUAGAUGAAUGUAAGUCAAUUAAUUUGGGACGGAGGGAGUAUAAC
rnacentral:pre_miRNA from 1 species